rnacentral:rRNA from 1 species
UACGAAGGGGGCUAGCGUUGCUCGGAAUCACUGGGCGUAAAGGGUGCGUAGGCGGGUCUUUAAGUCAGGGGUGAAAUCCUAGGAGCUCAACUCCAGAACUGCCUUUGAUACUGAAGAUCUUGAGUUCGGGAGAGGUGAGUGGAACUGCGAGUGUAGAGGUGAAAUUCGUAGAUAUUCGCAAGAACACCAGUGGCGAAGGCGGCU